CUAAGUCGCAUUAGCUAGUUGGUGGGGUAAAGGCCUACCAAGGCGACGAUCUGUAGCGGGUCUGAGAGGAUGAUCCGCCACACUGGGACUGAGACACGGCCCAGACUCCUACGGGAGGCAGCAGUGGGGAAUAUUGGACAAUGGGCGGAAGCCUGAUCCAGCCAUGCCGCGUGUGUGAAGAAGGCCUUUUGGUUGUAAAGCACUUUAAGCGAGGAGGAGGCUACUCUAGUAAUACCUAGAGAUAGUGGACGUUACUCGCAGAAUAAGCACCGGCUAACUCUGUGCCAGCAGCCGCNGUAAUACAAGGGUGCGAGCGUUAAUCGGAUUUACUGGGCGUAAAGCGUGCGUAGGCGGCUGAUUAAGUCGGAUGUGAAAUCCCUGAGCUUAACUUAGGAAUUGCAUUCGAUACUGUUCACCUAGAGUAUGGGAGAGGAUGGUAGAAUUCCAGGUGUAGCGGUGAAAUGCGUAGAGAUCUGGAGGAAUACCGAUGGCGAAGGCAGCCAUCUGGCCUAAUACUGACGCUGAGGUACGAAAGCAUGGGGAGCAAACAGGAUUAGAUACCCUGGUAGUCCAAGCCGUAAACGAUGUCUACUAGCCGUUGGGGCCUUUGAGGCUUUAGUGGCGCAGCUAACGCGAUAAGUAGACCGCCUGGGGAGUACGGUCGCAAGACUAAAACUCAAAUGAAUUGACGGGGGCCCGCACAAGCGGUGGAGCAUGUGGUUUAAUUCGAUGCAACGCGAAGAACCUUACCUGGUCUUGACAUAGUAAGAACUUUCCAGAGAUGGAUUGGUGCCUAUAACGG
rnacentral:rRNA from 1 species